GGUUGUGGCUCAGUGGUAGAGUGCUUGCCUAGUUCAUGUGAGGCCCAGGGUUCGAUCCUCAGCACCA
rnacentral:tRNA from 1 species